rnacentral:tRNA from 1 species
GCCGGAGUGGCGGAAUGGCAGACGCGCGCGACUCAAAAUCGCGUCCCGCAAGGGGUGGAGGUUCGAGUCCUCUCUCCGGCA